AUUCCAGCUCCAAUAGCGUAUAUUAGUGUUGUUGCAGUUAAAAAGCUCGUAGUUGGAUUCCUGGCACGGGGUAGCCGGUCCGCCUUGCAAAAGGUGCGCACUGAGCGGCCUCGGCCAUCCUUGCGAUGGUCUAUCCUGGCAUUCAGUUGUCGGGGUGGGGAUUCGCGACGUUUACUAUGAAAAAAUCAGAGUGUUCAACGCAGGCUUACGCCUUGAAUACAUUAGCAUGGAAUAAUGAGAUAGGACCUUGGCGGUCUAUUUUGUUGGUUUGCACGCCGAGGUAAUGAUUAAAAGGGACGGUUGGGGUUCUUCGUGUUCAAUUGUCAGAGGUGAAAUUCUUGGAUUUAUGGAAGACAAACUGCUGCAAAAGCGUCGAACAGGGACGUUCUCAUCA
rnacentral:rRNA from 1 species